rnacentral:rRNA from 1 species
UGGGGAAUAUUGGACAAUGGACCGAGAGUCUGAUCCAGCAAUUCUGUGUGCACGAUGAAGUUUUUCGGAAUGUAAAGUGCUUUCAGUUGGGAAGAAAAAAAUGACGGUACCAACAGAAGAAGUGACGGCUAAAUACGUGCCAGCAGCCGCGGUAAUACGUAUGGCACAAGCGUUAUCCGGAUUUAUUGGGCGUAAAGCGCGUCUAGGUGGUUAUGUAAGUCUGAUGUGAAAAUGCAGGGCUCAACUCUGUAUUGCGUUGGAAACUGUAUAACUAGAGUACUGGAGAGGUAAGCGGAACUACAAGUGUAGAGGUGAAAUUCGUAGAUAUUUGUAGGAAUGUCGAUGGGGAAGCCAGCUUACUGGACAGAUACUGACGCUAAAGCGCGAAAGCGUGGGUAGCAAACAGG